rnacentral:rRNA from 1 species
CCCCCCCCCCUUAUUAUUACACUUUAGUUGGGGCGACUAAGGGUUUCCAAAACCACCCUGCCAAAUUCAGAAAAAUAAUUCUUAACACAGAUCCAACCACUUGACCUAUAAAAUAAACUACCUUAGGGAUAACAGGCUUAUCUUCCUAAAGAGACCAAAUCAACAGGAAGGUCUGGCACCUCGAUGUUGGCUUAGAGCAACCCAUUAAUGCA